GGAGCAGUAAGAGUGGUCUGGCUGGGACAUCUGUCGCCCCAUCAAUGCCAGGGUGGAUUCAGCUGAUCUGGCUGGCUAGGUAGGUAUUGCCUUCCUCCCUCCCCAUUCCAUGUGCGCCCCGGGCCUCCUGAAGCUACAUGCCGUCCCCAAAUGGAAGAGCGGUCUUUGGUCAAGGGCACACAUGCAGCUGCACUCCCCUGCUAGAACCCGCAAACAUGCUCUCAAGGCCUGCUUCAUUCUUUUGAGACAGGGUCCCUCUAUAUAGUCCUGGCUGUCCUGAAAUU
rnacentral:sRNA from 1 species